UCCGGUCGGAGCCCCGGUGGGAUGUGGGGUUGCCGGGAGGGAGCGGCUCCGCCUCCUGGCAUUGAGGUUGUGCUGUAUUGGCCCUGCGGGGCUCACCUGCGGGCCGGGAUGGCAGGCUUCGUGCAUGCGACUGUGUGUAUGUAUGUGUGAAGAUAGCGCUUCAGGAGCUGAGGUAGACAGAAGGCCCAGCCUUUUGGUCCGCUGCUCGCAUGCCUUCUUUACGAUCUAGUCUUAGAAUCAUUAGGACUGGGAAAAGCCACUAAUCUUUUUGUCAGCCAUCCCCACCGUGCCCGCUGACCGUGUCCCUCAGCGCCGCAUCCACGAAUUCAUCGGACACCUCCAGGGACAGCUGCCUCCACCCUCUCUCUGCGCAGCCUGUGUCAGUGCAGCUAAACUCUCAGAAAUUUUUCCGGAUAUCCCACCCGCACCUCCACUGAGGCCCUGCUGCUUUCGCUGUGACCGUGGGAUCCUGCAAAAACCCAGCCCAAAAGCAGAGCGGGGAGAGGAACCUUCCUGCAGUGCCCUGGUGGCGCUGGGUGCAGGCAGCUCUCAGAACUCCCAGCUGCACUGACAGGUGGAAGGCAGCGAUUGCUGCUGCUUAUGGCAGUCACCCAACCGAGCUGCUCCAUGACUAUUUUCCUUAACCUCAGUCUUACUUGACAUUCAGAAUAUGCAGAAAAACCUUAGCGCUUGCAGAUUGGACCUAAGCCUCAAUCCUACCUGCUUUGUUGCCCCAGAAUCCAAAUGCUUUUUCAUCUUAAGGUUUGUUAUUUUACGCUCUUUCUGACCUGUGACAGGUGGGACCUGUGUCCAUUUUGAGACACGACUGUACCUCACCACUGCAGUCCCUUCUGGUUGUCAUCAACACUUGGAUCUUCUUCAGAGCUUAAACUGAAUGUGAUGGUGCUAUGCAAUGUCACAGUUGAAAACCGUGGAAUAUAAAGUCCCUGGCUUGAGCUGAAUAACCAGCCACUGUAAAUUGAUACUGUCUUAUCUGUAUCAGAGGAUUCUGUCUGGAGAUGUUAUGUAAAAGAAAAUGAUGACUUGUUAUAUGAGGCACAUUAUGGGAAGCAUUCAGCCACACUGUGAGGCUUCUUCUCCUUCCAUUCCCAAUGCACAUUUUGGCUAUUACACUGUAUUUACUUGGCAUAUAACCAGUUCACUGGAAUUAGAUCACAUUUACUGUGGUAUUUGGGAAGACUGACAGUUUGUGGAGAGACAAAGCAUGAAGGGUACUGCUGCUGAGCUUCUGGACUGACAGAGAGAGAUGGCGCGGGGAGAUGAGCUGGAGCAAUGAUGGCCACUGCCAAAAUGUGGAGCAAACUACCAGUGGAAGCUGAAGGUAGAAGUAUUCACCCACCACAAAUGAACUGGAGAAGACAGAGAUGAACAGCAGAAAAAAAAUGAGUCCAAGUGGCUGCCAAAUAGGUCAGGUUUCUCUGAACUGUAUCUUCUACACUGCGGUGCCUGAGUGCAGUGGACAAUAAGUGCUCGAAAAGGAAGUAAAACUGAGAAUUACUGGUCCCCAGCCCUUGAUUUAAACUUCUCUAUCUUCAGGAAAAGGCAGUGCACUUUUCAACAUGACCACAAAGAGGAGUUGCCAUCUCUAGCCUUGCUCAGCCUGAACGUGUGCUCCAUGAGAACAUCUGUCUCAUGAAGAUCUGCAAAACUCCAUUCGGAAUGGCUGAUGGAUGGCAUUUUUUCAACCAAAGUGUUUUUCAGAUGUGGUACAGUCCACAGGAAGCCUUUUGAAAUAGAAGAGGACUGUGGCAGCCAGCACAGCAUUAUGGUGUUAUGACUAAGGAACUGUUUUGAAGAAUGAGAGAUAUUUCUUCUGAUAGAGCAAUAGAUGAUACUUACCCUUCUCUUCUGUGGGAAAUCUGGUGGUUCCAGAUGGGACGAGGUGUCAGAAGAUGAAAUCCUGCUAAACUUUGAAGAAAGGAGGCUGAAGCAUUAGGACAUGCCAGCGACUACAGAAGAGAGAAAACAGUAAGUGAUUCUUGACUUCUUGCAGGGCUCAGGUGUGAACUUGAAGAUAGGGCAAGGAGGAAAGGAAGGGAGACGUAGCUGCAAUCCUCUUGCCCAUGGCCUGGGCAGGUGGGUGCUGCUGCUGCUCCAUUCCUUUGCAGGGUAACCUGAUGAGGCCCUGGGAUUGCUCCCUAAGACAUGAUCGUCCUCCACCUUUGGCUGUCCUUCCCUCAGGGCUGUUCCUGAAGGCUGAAAACCCGUCACACAGAAAAAGCAGGCGGCCUGCUCCCUCUAUAGGCUUUGCUGGUUGUUGCUGCCGUGAACUGGCUGCCUCUGAUCAGAGCUGCAUGCGUGUUUUGAAAGCUGACAAAAACUCUUACUUGAGGUGUAUUUUGCAUUUCUUUCACAUGUUUGCGUGUUUAUGUGUGUAAAUGUAUAUAUAUGCAUGUGGAUUCAUGUUUGUGUAUUUUUCAUGUUGUUUAAUGGCUAUACAUGUAGUCAUAUACAUGUAGCUACUUCCUCUGCAGAAGGAACAUGUAUGAAGCAGUUUUUACUGUUCAGUCUUGUUUCUUUUUGAACCAAUGCAUUAUCCUUUUUGUUUGUGAGCUAUCCGUUUGGUGACCGUGUAACCAUAACGCUCUUUCAAUUGCAUUCUGCCUUUAUUAAGGGAAGAGAUGCUGUCUGAACCAUGGCACACUUCCUCUCCAGCGCCUGCUCUCCUGACUGCACCAGCACCACAGUUCUUGAUGCCAUUCUGAUAACAAAAGCAAUCUGGAUUCAGAGCAUCCUCUUCGUUGUGUGGAUCAGCCCAGGGAGCCGCCGUGCAGCCCCCUCCCAGCAGAGCUGCAUGGAGGGAGGCAGGGUGGGAGGCAGGUGUCCUCAGGCAGCUAUUGCAGCUGGGUGCCCCUUGCUGCAGGCGCAGCUCCCUGCCUGCUGCUGGCGUGGGUAGCAGAGGGGAUUCCCCUGCGGUGUCUGAAACAGCGCUGCAGGGAAAGAUCCAACACAUCCGUGGGUUAUAUAUUAACAGUCAGUGAUGACCUUCUGCAGGCUGGGGGAGUAACUGUCUCACUGAAGCACUGGUAAAGAAGUGGCAGUUUUUCUGCUAUGCAGAGCACAGGUAUUAGCACCUAGCAGAAGGCUGUCAGGCAAUUUCCAUGCAGUGAUACUGUUAUCAAUUACUCCUUACUUUUAAAAAUGUGAAUAAAUUGUUCUGAAGUCUUUGGUACUAAAUUAAUGGCUGUAUGUUGUGGGGAACAGAAGGGAGACAACAGGAGAAGUUUUAACUAAAACACUGAGGGCACUUCCAAGGAAGCAUUUGGAGAAUAGCACACGAGUUUUGCUUACAGAGAAAAACCUUAGCAGUCAUUCCAUGCUGUGCUCAUUUUCCCUUCACCAGGUCUGACCUUGUUCUGUGUUGAAUGCAGUCUGCUGCAGUGGGGGUUAUGGACUUUUGUCACUUAUAGCACAGACAAUUUGCUUUAACUUAAGCUUAAAAGUAAAGCCAUGCCAGGAUGGCAAAUCACACCAGCAGUUGAAUGAGUGACAGUUUAUUUGUCUUUGGAGCUUCUGAUGAACGCAGAAGUAGUAGUGAAAGAAAAAAUAAAGGUAAGUUACAUAAAUAUCUAAUGUAUGAAAUCUAUAAUGGUCUUUUUAUGUGGAAUAAAUUACUUUCCAGUGGUUACAUGCAUAGGUAUACUGAGGAUGAUUUCAUCUGGUGUCCAUUGUGCACUGUGCAUAAAUUCAGAAGAUGUUUUGACUAAAGAUGAUACUUUCACAGAAGAGCUUCCUUUUGGUCAAUAUAUUUCACUGUUUAAUUAAAAAAAAUCCUGGCCAUGUUUCAAUUCAAUUAUUUGGUCUCUGGUGUCAUUUUUUGACCUUCAAAUACACAUACACAAAUCUUCGUUU